GAAUUUAUAAUUAUUAUUAUUAUUAUUAUUAUUAUUUCUCUUCCCCUCUCUUUUUUUCUGUUCAUAAGACUGCGCAACAGCACUGUACUGUAGGUGGCGCUAUACAUGUGGAUUAUUAUACACCAUAAAACUAAAGAAGAAGAAGAAUCGACUCUCAGCGUCGCUCAGCUGCACUCUCGCUUGGUUUUAUUUCUUAUGUAUAUAUAUAUAUUUAUAUAUAUUUAGAACCGUAGUUGAUCGAUGCUCUUAACAUUGUGGAGUCAUCUUUAGAGAGUCUGCCUCGAGAGACAGAACACCAGACUGAUCUGUUUGUGGCGGGCUCUGGAAGUGAGCAGUCAUGACCUCUGAGAGGGUGUUUGUGUUUGUUGAUGAAGAGGAGCUGUUCAGCGUGAUGAAGGAUGCUGACUGUCUCUACUGCAGGAUUCCUGUCACUGCCUCCAAACAGCACCUCAAAAAGAGACAUCUCAGAUUCGCUAUAUAUUAUAAAGACUCCGGCAUUGGGAGGUUUUCUAUCCCCUGUUAUUGCUCUGAUGGAGGCCAUGGCAGGAGCCACUGGCACUGCCCGAUGUGCUCGAAAAUAUUGCACAGGACACAGAACUACAAAAUCCACAUUACCAACCACGGUGUUGAGAUGACAGACAAAUCCUCAGCUGAGCUUCAGCCUACAACAGUCCUGUUAGAGAGCCUGCAAACACACAACGAACACAAGACGCCGGGCAGCAAGGCAGCGUGCCAGAAGUGUGGCAUCCUCUUUACCACCACAUCAAAUUUGAGACGGCAUGAGAGACUACAGCACGGCCAAGACCAGCAGCCCAUUUUAUGCGUAGAUGCCAAAAAUGCCAUCUAUGUUACACCCAAAUAUCUGCACGGGCCGAGAGUGCCCAUUCAUAUCCGCAAAUCCUUCACCUUGCAGAUUCUGCUGUGUGAGCUGGAGGAAUGCUGGGAUUUCAUGAAAGUGCAGGCCCAGAGCGGGAAUCCUGGGAAGGAAUGCCGUCACCUCGUGAGAACGAAUCACGCGCAGCACUACGUUCCUCCUCCACCGCUGAGCGUCCGCUCUCUGGAGGAGAUGAGCCACAAACACCUCCUGUCCGCAUCUGAGAAACACGAGUGCCAGGAGAUGAACUCCAGGGCGUGUGUACAGGGGGUGGACUGUGUCUACCCUGUUUUUUGGGGCGAGCAUGACCUUCCAGAGAGAUGCGUCUUCUUCUCUGUGUACACUGACCUUGAGGACAAAUGGUGUCAGUUUGGGAGGACACGCGUCUCGUUCGACAGCAAGUCUGGCAGCUGGAAGUGUCUGUGUAAGCACAAAAGAAGCCGCUGCGUCCACAAGUGUUUGUGUAUGUGGUGGCUGUUUCAGGAGCGUCCCGAACUGUUGCAGGAUGCCCUAGAUGUCCACCCGGAAAGAGCUUUAACUGACGACCUCUGCUAGACUCAGCAUCCGUCAGAACUUCUCUCGUUUCCUGUCUUUACUCAAUAAAAACACUGGACGUAACCUUUACUCUGGCUUG
ensembl:lncRNA